GGACAGGUGGCUUAGUUGUAGAGCACUUGAUUUGUGUGCAGAAGGUUCCAGGUUCAGUUCCUGGCAACACCA